GUGCGAACGUUCACCGCGGGAAGAGGUAUGAGACGACAGCUGGCAUGGCAUCCAGACGGUAAUCUGGUGGCUUUAGCAUUAAGUUGUAACCGCUUUAAGAUAUUUGACAUAGUUGAAGGCGAGCUAAUACAGUGCAUUCGUCGCCGGAGAAUGAUGUUGCAUUUCACCCAAGUGGAAAUUUCUUGGUGACUGGCGGCGAUGACGAUACAAUAAGAUUGCUUGAUUUAUUAGAAGUUGCUCGUUUGGAAAUCGAAUUUGCAUACAUUUGAUGCCAAUAGCUCUCGCAACAAACAAGCCAGUUCUCAAAGAGUCCAAAUUGAUUUUAGUCAUGCAACAGCUCCACAUAACUCCGCCAUAGACACACACACCAGUUGCUGCAGUACCAAAAAGCUGUGAUGACAGUAUUUUAAUUGAUCCACGACAAUCGGUGGCAUAUGGAAUGCGUGAUGGAAAUUUUCUGGUGCUUGAUAGCCAAUAAACUACAAGAGUGAAACGCUACAAGUGAAACGCUGUGAUGUAAUUUUUCUUAAAUUUCCAUCUUUUAUUUGCAUUUACAUUAAGAAGCUCAUAGAGGACAGAGCUGUUGGUGAGGAAGGUGUCGAGUUACUGCAGUACUGCAACUGUGAAAAUCCGCAUUUCGCACGUGCCCCACUCAUAUGGAAUAGCAGCUUAUGUCAAAAGGCUGGAUUUAGUAUAAUGCGGCAUUCGCAGCAUACCCUCACUGGCGCCGAGCCGUUGAAGAAAUUUUGG